AAAAAGAAGAAGGAAGGCGAGCAAGAAUCCUCCCCUCCCUUUCUGCGCCCCAAUCCCUUCUCUCCUCGAUUCCUAAUCGCGGAUCGGGACCUGAUCCUUCUCCGUCUAGGGUUAGGGCUCCCGAUCCCCCCUUCCAUGAGUGCCGACGGCGACUCCCUCGACGCGGGUGGCUCCGCUUUGGCCGCCGCUGCGGGUGGCGAGGGUGGGGCGACCGUCCACAUCCGCUGCUCCAACGGGUCCAAGUUCUCCAUCCAGGCUGUCCUCGACUCCACCGUGGGAUCAUUCAAGGCCGUUCUUGCCGAGAAGUGCGACGUGCCGGCGGAGCAGCAGCGGCUGAUUUAUAAAGGCCGGAUCUUGAAGGACGACCAAACCUUAGCGAGCUACGGUGUCGACUCUGAUCACACUAUUCACUUGGUUCGUGGUUUUGCAUCAUCAACUGCAUCUGGGGAUCCAGCUUCAAGAACUCCAAACAGCAAGUCAGGUGUUGCAAGGGGUGUUGGUUCCAAUGAGGGUAGGGGUUUUGGAACUGCUUUUGGAGGUUCACUAUUUCCUGGUCUUGGUGUUAAUGGGCUGGGUGGCAGUUGGGGAUCCAGUUUGUUUGGAUUUGGAUCCCCAGAGUCUGAUCAGGUGCAACAACAGCUGACUCAGAAUCCUACCAUGAUGAGGGAAAUAAUGAACAUGCCCGCUAUUCAGAAUGUAAUCAAUAACCCUGAGUUACUGCGAAACAUGAUCAUGAACAAUCCCCAAAUGCGUGAUAUCAUAGACAGGAAUCCUGAUGUUGCGCAUGUAAUUAAUGACCCCAGCACUCUACGACAGACUAUGGAAGCUGUUAGAAAUCCUGAAAUUAUGAGAGAGAUGAUGCGGAACACUGACAGGGCUAUGAGCAACAUUGAAUCUUCUCCAGAAGGAUUUAACAUGCUUAGGCGGAUGUAUGAAACUGUUCAGGAGCCAUUUCUCAAUGCGGCAACAAUGGCAGGGGGUACAGGAACUGACUUGGGUUCUAACCCAUUUGCAGCCCUGCUUGGAAAUCAAGGUGCUACACAGGCUAGGGAUUCAUCUCCAAACCCUUUGCCUACUGCUUCAGAAACAACAACUGGGUCUGCUGCACCAAAUACUAACCCACUUCCAAAUCCUUGGAGCAAUGCUCUUAUUUCAACAGGAGGUGCACAAACAACCAACUCAAGAUCAAUUCCUGCCAAUGGACUUGGUUUAUCAGAGUUGGAAAGGAUUGCUGGUAGCAUGGCAGAUCCAUCCGUCAUAAAUCAGAUUAUGCAAAACCCAGCCAUGACACACAUGAUGCAGAGCCUCCUCUCCAACCCUCAGUUCAUGAAUCAGAUCUUAGCGCUUGGUCCCCACCUCCGUAGCUUGGUUGAAUCAAAUACCCAAAUGAGAGAAAUCUUGCAAAAUCCAGAAUCUCUUCGCCAGCUUACUUAUCCUGAGACACUGCAGCAACUUCUAUUAUUACAGCAAGCACUUUUGUCCCAGCUUGGUCAGCAACAGUCAAGCCAGGAACGUAACCAGGAAGGUGGUGGCGCAGGUAAUUAAAAAUGUUCACUUAUCAUUUGCCUGAUGUUUGCGAGUUGCAUAGAUUGGAUCUUAUGCCCUGAAAUUCUGUUGAUGCAUCGUUGUAAAGACGGCACUGGCACGCCAAACAGCACUGGGCUGGAUUUUUUUAUGAACAUGUUUGGUGGACUUGGAGGGGCUGGCGAUCUCGGUGUUCCCAAUACCUCUGAUGUGCCUCCAGAGCAGCUUUAUGCAACCCAGUUGUCUCAGCUACAAGAAAUGGGCUUCUAUGACACCCAGGAGAACAUCCGUGCCCUGAGUGCCACUGCUGGGAAUGUGCAUGCUGCAGUUGAGCGGCUCUUAAGGAAUCUUGGUCGAUAGAUCACUAUCGUGUGAUGUUAUCCAUUUUGUAAUAGCUCAUAUCCAUCUGCUUAGUUUCAGCAUCGUAAUUUUGGCGAGAAAUAAGUAGAUAUAUGUGGUCAAGAGCGGUGUAACUUGCUAUGUUGGUUAUUGAACUGUUGAUGCAUUCCGCCCAUCAGUCUCUUUGUUGAUAUGAUAUAUAUGAAGACCCUUGGUCGUCAUUGUAAAUACACACUUUAUAUACUGUUUGACGUGUUUUGUCUAUAUUAUGAUGUGAUCA